UUUGAAGCUUUUUGAGGAGAAUGAGAUGCUCUUCUUUUUCUUUUCUCUCAGGUGGGUAUCUUGUACCCCUAAUUCUACUGUCGGACACUUGUCCAUUUUUACCUCUCGUCUCACUUUUUCUUUCUUUUGAGGUUUCGGGCACUUGCCCCUUUUUAUUUCCUCGUUUAUUAUUUUUUUUCUUUUCUUCUCUUUUCUCUUUUUUUCAGAGCACUCAUCUCAUGAGAUAAUAUAGCAAGUGGUAGUAACAAGAUAACUUGAGCAUUUAUUUCACAAGGAAAAAUAGAAAUAUUUUUGGCUAUUCUCUCCCGGAUUAGGAGUAGAAUAUUUUUGGGUGGUUCUGGAGAUGGACAUGGAUGGAUAUAUAUGGAUGGUACUUCCGGAGUAGAAGUAGCAUAUAUGAGUGAACGUGCAAGUGAAUCUUGAUUUAACCAUAUGACAAGCUCCUAAGGGUCUACACAACUUGACCACACUCAAUGCUCAUAAGCAGUAAAUCAUAAAUGUGUGGCUCAAAGUCUAGCAAGCAUGUAUAUAUGGCUGUGGUAGGAAUUUAAACUCUCAUCAUACAGAAACUCAUCAUGCAAUAUUUUAAUGAUUUUUCAAAGAUAAAAUUCUCUAGAAUUCUAGCAUCUCUAGGAACAGAUAAACAGCAGCUCAACCUUCCCAUAUCAUAUCCGUUAACAACUUAGAUUUCAGAUCAAGUUUUCAUCCCACAAGUUUAGAUCUAGAGCAAGCUUUAAAUUAUAACAGUUAUGUCUAAACUUGAGAGAGAACUUCAAAUUUGCAAAUUAGGCAGAGCAACUAUUCAUCAUAUCCAUGCUAGAGUUUUAUUAUUAAGAUUCAAAUUAGCAUAGCCAAAUUAUUUAUUUAGUAAACACAUUAAGCAAAAGAUAUAUAUAUAAGCACAAAAGCUUUAUUUAGUUUUUCAUAGUUUAUGUAUUUUAAUAUUCUAAUAUAAUAUAAGUAUAAAGAUAGGUAGAAAUACUUAGCGAGAUAAAUGGGGGUGCUCUCCCCCAAGCUGAAUUUUGACGUAAUUUCUCUUGAUGUAGCUAGCAGGUGGCAGAGGUGUAUUUGAAAGUCAGCAGCAUUCUGACAACGAUUAGAAUGUCCUCCGUCUGCUAGUCUUCUUGAUUCUUAAAUUCUGUGGAGCUCAAAUAGACAACAAAGCUUGUGGAACUAAUUAAGUGUUAGCAUAAAUAUCUAGCCUUCAUCAUGUUGAGCUUCCUCAAUAAAUAUUACUCCCUAUUUUUAUAUUUUUAUUUAUAAAGCAGAAAAGAAAUAUUUAUUUUAUUUUUAUGCCACCACAGUGAAGGUACUUAUGGGUUUUAUGCCACUCGUAUACUCACAUGGGGCUUAGUAUUUUUCUAACAUUUUUAUUUUCUUUUCAAGAUAGCAUGAUUAACUAAUAAUCUAUUUAAGGAAAGUAAAUAAUUAAAGGGAAAAGGGAAUGCAGAAAGGAUAAAUAUGGAUAACUACCGAUCUUACCUUUCGGCGAGGGUUCAAUGUUUUAAGUCUUCUUAACAAGACUUCUCACCGUGUUCAUUCUUCAGGUGCGUCAUUUGAUUCAGGUGCGGACCUUGACGUCUGCACCUCUUCGUUUGCCCAGCAGUUCGAAGUGCGGCAUUGGCAGUAACCUGCUCAGUGUGUUUGUGCUCGUAGAUCCAGGUCCUUCACUUGGUAGAGUCUGAGAGUUAUAAAGCUCCUCCGUGUUUUGCUCAAAGUGUACCUGCUCAUAGAGACAAGGCAGAGAUCAAGUGCAUGGGUCCUGUUGGUGGAAAACACCAACAGAACCUAAAGUGUAUUUGUUCUUCUCUAACCCUAAGCAUAGUGAGCAAGACAAAGUUGAUGGAUGAAAAGUUCAUUAGUGUAGCACUUAUAACAUUUGUUAGAUCAGAUCGCUCAACCUUUUGGAAAGAUAAUCUAUCUAUGUAUAUGUCUUUUUCUUCAUAUCUCUCAAAGAUUGAAUGUGUAAUAUUUUAGCUCAUAUGAUUAGGAGUGUGGGAUCAUGGAGGUAGUACUAAGAACAAGGAUUAAAGGACUAAACAUGUUGAAUCGAUUGGGUUGGUUAACCUAGAGCUGUAAAUCAUACAUGUUUGUCUCUUUUAUUCAUAUGAACACCAAAACUAAGGAGAAGCUUAUAAAAGUGAUAGACAAGUACCAUAAGGUGUUACCUUACUUGAAGAGUGACGGUACAGUAUCACCUUGUGGAAGCUUUCCUUUCUUAGCGGUUGUGCAUCGUGUUUAUGGCACCCUCCAUGGAUCAUCUCUCUAUGAUGAAUGAGCUAUGUCCUUCUUGUGCAAAUUGUUAAACUUCAUGUGUCACUCUCUUCGUCUCUGAUAUGAGUUUAUCUCAGGACUUCCCAAAUCGAUAUUGGAAGUUUUUCUGCAGGGGUUAGUCCGAUAAAAAUAUACCAAUGUCUACACAAGCAGUUUUUAGUUGAAUAACCGAACUAGACUCCAUGUCUAAUCAGAUUAAGGAAGGCUGUUUAACCUAAGCACCAUGCUUAAUUUAAAAGCCAAUAGAAGUAUGAGCAGUACUUCCAAACUAACACUUGCUAGUAAAUAGGCAAAGGUAACAUGACAGCAUUUAUAGAGAUCUACUCAAGAGGAGAUGAAGUAGUGUGAUUAUUAUUUAACAAAUUGAGCAUGUCUUAAAGGUAGGGACAUCCAACAUAGCAACAUGGCAAAGGAUGUUUUUAUGUAAAGUACUCCCCCAAGCUUGAAUUUUACAGAAUUCAAGUUUGGAUGAAUUUAAUUUAGUGUUGCAUGAUGAUUGGUUGGACAUACCUUGUGCUUGUCAUUCAUCUGAUCUUCUUGUUCCAAUCCUGGAAAGGUUAGUGACAAGAAUACCCGAAGGAAUAUUUUUACAAUUAUCCUUAUAUGCUCAAUACACAAGGUAAUGUUGCAAAUAAAAAACUCAUGUUACGAUCUGAUCAGUGCUUAUUUUAGGACACCAAGCUUGUCCUUGGGAAACCAUCAAUUUAUGUCGGCGAAGUGGUUUCCCUUCCAACGCUGACCUAAAUCAAGAUCAACCCAACGAGAUCUGCAAUAUUUAUUAUAGACAAAUGCAUCGACAACCGCCCUUUUAAAGUUUUUAUAAAUAGAAAGGAUGAGGGGGUUGGAGAUCUCAAAUGUGGUGAUGUUGGAGAGACCAAUAGAUUAGGAAGAUGUUUCAUAUGAGCAUGGAGUAAUUGAAGUGGUUAUGAAAUAAAUUCUAUGCUCAUUAAUGUUAUCUUCGUCUCCAAUCUGAAUGUUCGGAGUUUCUCCUGGAUUGGUCUCAUUUAUGUCCUCUUCUGUAGUUGGAUGAAUCUCAUCUUCAACGGGAGUCAAGAACAAAUCAUUUGAAAUUGAGCCAAAGUCAGAAUCCAUUAAGGCUUCUUCCUUAUCCAUCCAUUCUACACAUUCUAACCAUUUAGAACUUGUGAUCAAGAAAGGGGAGGUGUUAGAAUUUUCUAUAUGGCUUAGCUCUCCUUCACCUGAUAUGUCAUCCUCGACUUCUUCAUAAUAGGAACCAGGACAUUCUCUAAGAGAAACAUUAUUGCAAGGAUUUGAAUUAUUUCUGCUUGAAGGUCUCUUAUGGAACCAGAAGUCUAAACCAUCUGUAUUUGAAAGAUUUAAGGUCGGAAUUCCUUCCUCCCUUAGAGAAUUUUGGGGUAUUGAUGGUUUAGGAUCGAUAGCUAAAGUUUGGAAUUGAAAUGGUUGUGAUCUGGCUAUCGAAACUUCUUCUUUUUGUCUAGGAACUGGUUCUGUCUCUUUCUCAGGGAUAUAAAAGCUAGGAGACUUUCCACUCAUUAAAUCAAUCAAAUUCCAAGCUUCACUAGCAGGUAGGUGAUAGAAAGAUCCUCCGGAGGCUGUAUUCAAUGUUUGCUUAUUUUCCAUACUAAGGCCCUCAAAAAAGUGAAUUAGAAGAACUUAUUCUGGAAUAGAAAGCUUUGGGCCAGUGAGAGUAAGGUUAAUGAAGCGGUCCCAUGAUUUCCUAAGAGAUUCUUCUUCCAGUUGUCUAAAAGAAAUAAUCUCACGCCGAAGUUCCGCCACUUUGGAGAUUGGAAAAUAUUUAGAAAGAAAACUACUAUAUAACUCCUUCCAAUCUCCAUGAACACUCCCUAUUUUGAGUUUGUACCAAUGUCUAGCUUUUCCCGUUAAAGAGAACGGAAAGAGCUUCCAUUUAAGGGUCUCAUCAGACAUGCCUUCUAUGCGAAGGAGGUCACAGACUCUAUAAAACUCUCUUAGGUGUGUGUAUGGGUUUUCCUCACCUUCUCCUAAGAAAGGUUGUUUUUGUACAAAUUUUAUGUAUUCGGGGUCUAUCUCAAAACUAGAUGCUAUGAUAGGCUUUGAAGAUUUUGGUGGUUCGAGAUGUGUGCCCGUAGGUCUAUGAAAUUCAUAGAUAGACAUGUUUGAAUUCAUGAUAGACCAGAGAUCAAGGAUUAGAUAAGAAGAAAGAUUAGCAAAGAUGAGGCAAAGGAUAAAAGGAAAAUAUAUAUUUUUUAAUUAUUUUUUUUAGAAAAUGAUUAAGCUUGUUCGUAGUCAACUCAGCAACCGUCUCCCCGGCAACGGCACCAAAAAUGCUUGUUGACACUUGCUAACACCACUUGAAUACUAGGUUGUCAUCCCCAGCAUGGCACUAGAGUGUACUAUGGUAUUUAUACGCACACAGAUAAUCCGCAAGCGCACGGAUACCGUUGAAGCUUUUACCCGGUUAAAGGUUUUAUCGUAUCCACAGGGAAAUGGGAGAACCAACUACGCUCUAACUUAACCAAGAUAAGUAAAUAGGUGUAAAUAGGAAAGAUGGUAGAAUCGAAUAAGAACAAUAUUAAAGGUAAGAUAACAGUGAGUGAUAAUAUGGGAAUAGAGAGUAGAACAAUUCUAAUUUAUGGGCGAUGGUAGCAGAAUAGAGAGGAUAACUAUGGUUUCUCUACUUCAAAGGGGUAUGUCUAUGUCUGGGACGAACCACGUGAUAAGAGUACACCGCAAAGGAUGCUUAUCCUUAGGCCGAUAAACCCUACCCGUCCUGCUAACGAGAGCUGGACUACUCUGGACCAACGUAACUGUCACCUACGUGGCCUACCACACGAUCCAGCUAGACAGGGGAUAUCCACAAGUAAUCUAGGUCUAAGCACCACGCUUAUACCUAUACUACAACUCUAACCUAUAGCGUCCUAUAGAUUAAAGUACUCAAAAGAGUUGUGAACCAGAACAUACAUAAUUAGUAAUUGCAUAAUGAAUUAGAAGUAGAUUACCAGAUUCAUCCCAUGAGCAAGCUUGAUUAGAGAUUGAUCAUGACGAAGUACAACCGGAGGAAGAACCGACAGGCCGGCCUCUCCUCUAAUCCUCCUUCGCUCUCCAUCUUGCUACUAUCUAGAUCUACUCUAGUUUAGAGAAGAGAGGAGAGCUCUCAUCUCUAAACCCUAGCUUUUGCUCUGUCUAUGAAUAAUGAAUAAUGAUCAAGGGGUGCCUCCUCCAGGGGCCAGGGGGUCUGGUUAUAUAGUCUUUUUCAGAUGAAUCUGGACCGUCGGAUCAAACCGACAUUGAUCGUGUGGUUUUCCUUGAAGUAUUAGGUCGGUGGAGCAUGAUCCGCGAAGUUGAAGCUGAUUGGUUACUGUAGCAGGGCGGGCACCCAAGGGACUUGGGCGGGCGCCCUGCCCCCGGGCCCGAUCGGCCUCCCGUUCGUUCCCGUGGCUUCUGGAGUCUUCUAGAUGGUAGAAAAUUGCGCGGCAUGUUAAUAUCUCUAUGUAAACCCGACGUGUGGGCCAACCCCCUGCAGAAAUAGACAAAAACCAAAACUCGUGGAAUUCUGUUAGAUAAAACCCUAAGUCUAGUUGUUGAUUUCAUUUGGAUCCUUUUCUUUGUUUAUUUGAUAAUUAAAUUUGAUACUUAAGGACCGUCAAUAGAGUGCUCAAGUAUUAAAACUAAAUCAAAAGAGAGACACUCUAACACUUGCACGCACGAACAUCUAGGAAAUUUCUUCUCUGCCAAGGUGACCCGGUAGUACCACCCCUCAGGGCCGGUGGUACCGGCAGUGCCAUCCCUUUCUCUUGAGUUUUGCGAGAAAAUGAACUACCGGUAGUACCGGGCUCGGGCCGGUGGUACCGGCCAGCACCAGUAGUACCGGCAGGCCAAAUCUGCGCUGACUUUGGUUGCGGAGAUUUGAACUGCCGGUGGUACCGGCCUUCCACCGGUGGUACCGGCAAUGGUCGGUAGUACCGACAAAAGCCCGGUUGUAUCGGUAGGCUUAUUUCUCGCAAAUCAUAGAGACUUCUUACCAUUAGAUCUGAGGUAGCCGGUGGUACCGGUGGUUGCCCCGGUAGUACCGGCAGUUGUUCUGAACACAUGUAUAAAUAGCUUUCCCUUCAUUCUAACCGUUGGCUUACUCUUCCACUCGACCAAACCUUCAGCCAAGGCACAUGUCUAGCUCCCAAAAGCCCCUUUCUUGUAUCCCCUUUGCUCCUAACUUCAAAUCUUGCAAGGGAUUGAGAGAGAGAAGGAUUCUUGGUGAGAGAAACAUCAAAGCAAAGCUUGAGCACUUGAUUUCUUCAUCAAACCGGUUGGAUUUGUGUUUGUUACUCUUGGAGCAAGGCUCCUAGCCGGCUAGGCGUUGCCCGUAGAGCUUCCUACUCAUGUGGUAGCCUCAGGAGGUUUGUAGUCACUCAAAUCAUCUAGUGAAAUCACCCCUCAUCUCAAGGGAUUGCUCUCUUGACUUGAGAACGAGGAUAGGGUUGAAAGAGACCCGAAAAGCCUGUGUGGCUUCCUCAACAACGUGGACAUAGGCAAGCCUUGGUGGCGAGCUGAACCACGGGAUAAAUAUCUUGUCUUGCUGUGGAGGUAGCUUCGACUACCCUUGUUCUUGUGUUCUUUGUGUUCUUCCUAUCUACCCCGUUCAUAGGUGAACAAGGGCCGAUCUAUGUUUUGGAGAAGAACCAAGGCAAGGGAACUUCAACAUCAUCCUCUACUACAUCUAGGAGAGUGGGGUAACUCUCAAAUCUGGAAUCAAAACUCAAAAUACUCUGAUUUCAUAGCUCUCUUAGGGUGUCGGUAGUACCAACAGUUGCGUCGGUAGUACUGGCUGUCUUACACUAGUAGUACCGGCCCAAACUGUCGGUGGUACCGACAGGCAUUUAACUUCCGCAACUUGAGUUUUGAGUUUCAGGUUUUUUUAGAUACGCCUAUUCACCCCCCUCUAGGCGACAUCAGGGUCCUUACAAGUGGUAUCAGAGCUAGGCUCUCAACUUCGGUCUUAACCGCCUUGAGAGACGAUGUCGACAAGUGAGGAGGUAUCUCUAGAACUUCUACUUUUAGAUGGUUCAAAUUAUGCAUCUUGGUCCGCUAGUGUGCUUGAUGUUUUUAGGGCCAUGGGUCCUCAUAUCGAGCAGAUUGUAGAUGUGAGCAUUUCACCUCCUAGUGAUGAUUUGGACUAUCUAUCAAGAGAGGAAGUGAAAUGCUUACAACACAAUGCUCAAGCUACUAAUAUCUUAUUUAGUGCUUUGAGUGAAGAUGUUUUUGAUACCGUCAUAUUUGGAGAUGGUGAACCACUUAUGGAUGCUCAUCUUAUUUGGACUACACUCAAAGAAAGAUAUGACGUGUCUAAAUAUGAUGAGAAGUAUAUCUUAUUAGAGGAACCAUUUGCCUCAUCAACAUAUGACUCAUCAGAAAGUGAUAAAAUGGUUGGUGAGAACAAUGUUUUUACAUGUGGUACUUCUACUUCCUCUUGUUCUUGUGAGACUAACAUUUUGAAGGAAGAAGAAGAUUGCGAUCGAUGGAGGCCAAAUGAUGAAUCCACCUCACCGAGAAGCUCAACUCUCUAUGCCACUUCUCAUGUGGGUCUUAUGGCUAAGAAAGAGAAGAAUGUUGCAUGUGAUAGUGAGAGUGAAAGUGAGAGUGAGAGUGAAGAUGAAAGUGAUGAUGAUGAGAUCGAUCAAUAUCUUGCACGCCUAAGCAAGAAAGACAAGUUGAUGGUGCUCAAGCUCAUAGAUAAAAUUGAAGAUCAAGAAGAAAAACUCCAUGAGCAAGAUGAGUUUGUCAUCAAAAGAUCAAAUGCUUGGAGAAGUUGACCAAAGAGCAUGAAAAGCUUAAGUGCUCUCAUGCUAGUUUGGUCAAAAGGUAUGAAAACUUAUCAAUUGAGCAAACUCGUACUAUUAACUCUCUAUCUUGUGUUGCUCAAUUAGAAGAUGAGAAUGAUAUGCUCAAGGACAAAGUGGAGAGUCUCACUAGCAAGAAUGAGACUUUGCAAGAAAGUCAUGGUGAGCUCUUGUGCUCUCAUGAGAAGCUUGUUGAUUCUAAUCUCAUGCUAGAAAUAGCUCAUGAGGUUGUGGUAACAUCGGUAAAAUCAUAUCAACCUCACACUCACAAGUGCACAUGCACACAAGUUCCAUAUAUUUUAUCAUGUGCUAACAAUUGUUGCUCUCAAGCAAGUCAACCUUCCAUUGAGCAUGUACUUGUAGUAACUUGUGAUGACUCCAUUACAAUAGAAAAUGAAGAGCUCAAGGAAGAGGUUGAGAGGCUAAGAAGGGAUUUGAUUCAAUGGGAAGGCAAGUGCAAUGCUCAACCUUCUCAAGAUAACCGUGAAGACAUGAUGAAGAAGCUUGAGAAGGGAUCAACUAAUGCAUGCGUCAAGCUCCAUCUACAAGGCCACAAGUCAAACAAUGGCAAAGUCAAGGGACAAGCUAGAAGUGUGCAGUUUGUCCAAAGUGUAGCAAUUGUGCUCAAGGCUAUGAGGGUUCAAGAAUGUGGUAGUGCUGCAUCCCAGUGCGGUGGUGCUGCACCUAGACAGAACAGGAAAGUUCCCAAGGUCACAAAGGUGCAAUGUCAACCAAAGAAGACUCUUAUCACUUGCUUCAAGUGCAAGAAAGAGGGUCACCAUGUUAGAGAUUGCGCUCUGAAGAAAGAAGAGAAGGGCAUGAGCAAGAUCCAAGAGAAGAACAAAAUGGCUCAUGUCAAGUGCUCCAACAUGGGACACAAUGUCUCUAUGUGUUCCAGCAAGGCUGGUGACCAAGCAACACUUCCAAACAUGAAGAUAAGAAGAAGCAAGAGGAAGUGUUAUGGAUGUAAUAAGAAGGGUCAUGAAAUUGCAUCAUGCCCCUACAUGAAGGAUGAAGGCUUGGCAUUGUUGGGUAUUCUUAACAUCAUUACUAAAGGUAGACUAAGUUCUCUAAAUCUAGCAACGGUGCCAAAAAUGCCAAACCUAUCCCUCACACCACUUAAGCCAAGUUGUCAUCCCCAGCAUGAUAUAAGAGACGCGGUAUUGAAAUAUGCAAUUGCUCUUCUAAAUAAAUAAUGAAUGGGAUCUGCAAGCGCACAGAUUAAUACCGAUGUAGCAUUUUAACCGGGAAGUAUUCCAGGUAUCGUUAUUUAUAUUUUUACCACUGGGAAGGGAUUAGAAAUCAUCACUAAUGAUUACAGAAUAGAAUAUGAGAUUGAGCAUCUAUCAUUGCAUGUAUAAUUGAGAACAUUAUAUCUAACUCAGCAUACAGGGAUAAGUGACACAUAAAAGAUAUAUGAAAUAAUAAUAGUGACAAGGACAACUAAUCUGAUCUAGCCACAUAAUAAAUAUGAUAAGCACCUCAAUUAGAUACUCUAGAAAGUCAUUAGCAUGGUAUUAGAACGAACUACAAGAAUAUUCCCUAAGUUAUUCUUAACUAUAUAGUCUAGCAUAUCAUAGUUAGUGCAAGCAUACUUAGCAAUCAUUGCGAGACAAGACUACGCCCAUGCAUAGUGAUAUUAGCAAGGAAUAUGAGAAACAUAGCAAUCAUUCCCCUGUAAUAAUGUUGCUCUGCCAGCCCAAUACACGAGAGGGGGACUAUAUAAGAAUCAAUGAAGCUGUCACUAUCACGAACCACCCCACGAUCUGGCAUAUUGGGUACAAUCGCAGAUAAAUACGGUAUAAGCACCACGCCUACACAAUAUCUAUCAUUUACCCAUGGAUCCGAUGGAUAAACGCUAUACGAUCCUAAGCAUGUAUAUAGAUCGUAUCUAACUAAGCCAAGUACAUAACUAUGAUAAACUAAGAACAAUAUAAUCUUGAAUAUAAGCAAGUAGAGCAAAGUCAUAAGCAAUAUAUUGAAGUAGAACAAAGUCAUAUUCAUAAUAUUGAAGAACAAAGAUAAUUAGAAAGCAAUUAGAAGCACAAUUAGAGAAUUACCAAGAAUCCUCUUGACAGAUCCGGAAACCAAUCGAAGAUUGACUCCUUCUAGUUCUAAUCCUAUGUAGCUAUGCUAAUCUAGAUAUCUAAUUGAUGUGGUGGCUCUAGUCUUGAUCAGAGGCUUCUUCUCCCUUGAUGGAACAAUGAAUUAGGGUUGAGAGGCUCUCUCCUCCAGGGGCCAGGGGGUCUGGUUUUAUAGUCCCUUCAAGUGAAUAUGGGCCCUUGGAUCAAACCGACAUAGAUUGUAUGGUUUAGAUUCAUCCUUUAGGUCGGUGGAGACUUCCCGCAAAGCAGAGUCCUGUUUGGACUCCAACAGGGGGCGGGCGCCUAGUAGGACAGGGCGGGCGCCCUGCCUCUGGCCCCGUUUCGCCUCCGCUUCGGUCUCGUGGCUUCUGGAGUCUUCUAGAUGUAAGAUAAUUGCGCAGCACGUUAAUAUCUUUACGUAAUCCUGACAUGUGGUCCUUUCUUCCAUAUUUCCUGAUAAUCCCCUGCAGAAAUAGACAAACACCAAAACUCGUGGAAUUCUGUCAGAUAAAACCCUAAGUCUAGAUCUUGAUUUCAUUUGGAUCCUUUUCUUUAUUUAUUUGAUAAUUAAAUUUGAUACUUAAGGACCGUCAACAAACUCCCCCAAGCUUACCUCUUGCUCGUCCCUGAGCAAGGAUAGACUCAGCUAUGGAUCAAAAGUUGCUGCAAUAUUUAAAAAUUGACGGUACACAUGCUUUUUAAAUAAGAUCUCAUCUCUGAGUUAGAGUAAACUGUCAAGACAUAAAACUUACUUACUUUACCUACACCAUGGGACUUGUAAGUGUCACUUCUGUCUUGAGUGGUUAAAAGAUAGAACAGUCUAGCCAAGUGCCAUGUCUCUUAUUCUUGAUCAGCUAUAGCUCUGGGGUUUUUGCAGGUUUUCAAAUAAAACUCAGAGAUUCCUUGUAUGAUUCUCUCAGGUCUCUCUUUUAUGGUAUUUUUGGAUCCUUACCAAGGCAUUGAUGGUAUAUGCCUUCUCUCAAGAUAUGUGGUAUUUGUGGUACAAAGCAUAGUGACAUUGCCUUCUCUCUCACCCUACUCUAAUAAGGCUUUAAUAUCUGGAGCUCAUAGGUGGGAGAUAAAGUAUACAUACUUACAAGACAUUUAUUGCAUAGUCAAACCAUGGAUCCAAAGAAACAAGCCAAUAAGUUUAAUCAAGAUGUGCAUGUGUGGCGAAUGAAUGGUGUAUGGUGAUGAUGGUGAUAACAAUGGUGAAAACAAUGGUGGUGGAAGUCUAAUUCUACUUUUGCUCUUUUGAGGGGAUACAUACCUUUCUUGCUUUUGAAACUUUAUGAGGAGAAUGAGAUGCUCUUCUUUUUCUUGUCUCUCAGGUGGGUAUCUUGCACCCCUAAUUCUACUGUCGGACACUUGUCCAUUUUUACCUCUCGUCUCACUUUUUCUUUUCUUUCGAGGUUCCGAGCACUUGCUCCUUUUUAUUUCCUCGUAUUAUUUUCUCUCUUUUAUUUUUAGAGCACUCAUCUCUUGAGAUAAUAUAGCAAGUGGUAGUAACAAGAUAACUUGAGCAUUUAUUUCACAAAGGGGAAAACAGAAAAUAUUUUUGGUUAUUCUCUCCCGGAUUAGGAGUGGAAUAUUUUCAGGUGGUUUUGGAGAUGGAAUGGAUGGAUAUAUAUGGAUGGUACUUCCAGAGUAGAAGUAGCAUAUAUGUGUGAACGUGCAAGUGAAAUCUUGAUUUAACCACAUGACAAGCUCCUAAGGGUCUACACAGCUUGACCACACUCAAUGCUCAUAAGCAGUAAAUAAUAAAUGUGUGGCUCAAAGUCUAGCAAGCAUGUAUAUAUGGCUGUGGUAGGAAUUUUAAGCUCUCAUCAUACAGGAACUCAUCAUGCAACAUUUUAAAGAUUUUCAAAGAUAAAAUUCUCUAGAAUUCUAGCAUCUCUAGGAACAGAUAAACAGCAGCUCAGCCUUCCCAUAUCUUAUCCGUUAACAACUUAGACUUCAGAUCAAAUUUUCAUCCCACAAGUUUAGGUCUAGAGCAAGCUUUAAAUUAUAACAGUUAUAUCUAAACUUGAGAGAGAACUUAAAAUGUGCAAAUUAGGCAGAGCAACUAUUCAUCAUAUCCAUGCUUAAGUUUUAUUUAGAUACAAAUUAGCAUAGCCACUUUAUUUAUUUAUUAAUCACACUAAGCAAAAGACAUAUAUAUAUAAAAUCUUUAUUUGGUUUUCCCAUAGUUUAUGUGUAUUUUAAUAUUCUAAAAUAAUAUAAGUAUAAAGAUAGAUAGAAAUACUUAUCGGGAUAAAUGGGGGUGCUCUCCCCCAAGCUGAAUUUUGACGUAAUUUCUCUUGAUGUAGCUAACAGGUGGCAGAGGUGUAUUUGAAAGUCAGCAGCAUUCUGACAGCGAUUAGAAUGUCCUCCUUCUGCUAGUCUUCUUAAAUUCUGUGGAGCUCAAAUAGACAACAAAGCUUGUGGAACUGAUUAAGUGUUAGCAUAAAUAUAUAGCCUUCAUCAUCUUGAGACUCCUUAAUAAUUAUUACUCCCUGUUUUUAUAUUUUUAUUUUAUAAAGCAGAAAAAUAUUUAUUCUAUUUUUAUGCCACCACAGUGAAUGUACUUAUGGGUUUUAUGCCACUCGUCUACUCACAUGGGGCUUACUGUUUUUUUCACAUUUUUAUUUUCUUUUUAAGAUAAUACGAACAUGAUUAACUAAGUAAACUAUUUGAAAUAAUUGGAAGGAAAGGAUAACUACCAAGUUUACCUCUUGGCAAGGCGUUCGGUGUUUUUAAGUCCUCCGAACGGGACUCUCCAAUUUCCUAAUCGUCCUGAGGUUCGUUGGGUGGCGUAGUCGGUACUUCCGGCAGCGCCUCCUCUUCUUGUAUAGUUAUCUUCAUUUUCCACACCUGACUUGGUGCUUCAAUCUCCUCUGGAUAAUUCUGUUUAAACUCAACGUCUUCUGACCUUACAACUUCUCCUUCAUAGUCUGUCCAUCCAUCCUUGAUGAUCUGCCUCCUCUGGUUGCGGUUGCGUCGCUUUCUUACCUGCUUAGAUUCUUCAACGAUAUAGUCAGGGUCAGUAAAAUAACGGCGUACCUUCUCUUAGGGGAAGUGCAUAUGGACUUCUCCGGUUCCAAUGUAGAUAAUUGCUUUAACGGUGCUGAGGAACGGCCUUCCAAGGAUGAUGGGUGGAUCAUACUCGUGUUCUCCCAUGUCAACAACUUGAAAGUCUGUGUAGACAAAGUGAUGAAUGUAUGUUGGUCUUAGGGGCAUGGUCCCGAACAAAAGCCGAAAGGUGACUGCGGCCAUUAUGUUGACGCCUGAUCCGGUGUCACAAAUCGUCUUGUAGAAGUUGUAUCCAUUUAUGGAGCAGUAAAUGCUUGGCAUUCCUGGGUCAUCCUUCUUGGUCAAAAACGGUGACUUAAGUUGGUGAUCUUGGCCUCCAUGGACUACAGUGACCAUCUUAGCUGACUCGGUCCACACUUGCUUGUUCCUGUUCCUCCUGUUGGUCCUCUUCCUUGAUUCACGUCUGGAUUGAUUUGGAAUUUGUGUAGUCUUGUUCUUGAAGAAAAAUGUCUCCUUCUUCCCUUUGACAUAGAAACUGAUCUUGGCAGCACUGGCGUAGAUGAUAGCUCCCGUGGUGUUCAAAAAUGGCCUUCCUAAGAUGAUAGGUGCUCUCUCAUCAUUUCCGGUCUCUACCACUACGAAGUCUGCUGGGGCAUAUAAGGUACCAACUCGGACACAAAGGUUCCUCACUAUUCCUCUUGGAAAAGUUAUCGUCUGAUCUGCAAACUGCAAACACAUGGUUGUCUCUAAUAAAGGAUAUGUAAAGAAUUUUUCAUAGAGUACCCUGGGUAUAAUGUUGACACUGGAGCCAAAGUCAUAGAGUGCUUCUGGGAAGUCCACCAUGCCGAUGGAGAUCGGGAUGACGGGUCGUCCUGGAUCGCCUCUCUUGACCGGCAGACGGUCAGUAGAAAAUUCAGUGACGGGGUUACUCCAAUUACCUGCAUCAAGCAUGUCUACAAGAUUUGCAGAUUCUAAUCCUUCCGGUUGUGAUGGUAUACUGGGUUUAGUAGUAGGAACAGCAGCAGCUAUUUGAUUUAACUGAGAUUCAAUCAUUUUAUUAAAGCUAAUUUGAUUCUUGAUGGCAGUAGAAAAAUUAUCCAUUCUAUUAUUUAUAUUUUCUAGCAUUCUAUCAUUAGAUGCCAAUUUCUUAGAUAGGUUAUCCAUUAGCUUUCCUUGAUUAGACACUAACUCUCUCAAAGGUGGAAAAUUAUUAUUAUUGUUGUAAGAAUUGUUACCUUGAUAAUUACCUGAGUAGUUAGGCCUCUGUUGAUUCCAACCUUGAUUUUGUUGAGGACGGUUGUAGUAGUAGUUGUUGUUGUUGAUGUAGUUCACAUCCUCAAGCAUCUCAGGGCAGUGGUUGCCUGAGUGUCCAGUGUCUCCAUACUCCUCACAAGUCAUGUGAGAGUCGUAGAUGUGCAUAACUUCUUUCUUGUCUCCAGCUCUAUCGUCGAGCUUCUUCAUGAGCAGGUCUAGCUUUGCAGACAGCAUGUCUACCACUUUCAGCUGAUGCAUACCUCCACCUCUCUUGCGUGUCUGGGUCCUCUCUUCAUUCCAGCUUUGAUUGGACGCCAUCUUCUCUACAAGAGCUGUGGCUUGUGGUAUAGUAAGUGAUAAGAAUGCUCCUCCAGCUGCAGCAUCCAUGGUCUCUCGGGCACUGUUGCUGAGCCCAUGAUAAAACGUCUGCAUCAAUAGCCAACUCUCCAUUCCAUGAUGGGGACAUUCUAGGAUGUAGUCUUGAAAGCGCUCCCAUGCCUCUGGAACAGAUUCAUCAUUUUGUUGCUGAAAACUUGUAAUCUUCCCACGGAGAGCAUUGGUCUUGCCCAUGGGAAAGAACUUUGCUAGGAUGUUUGUUGAGCAGAGUGCCCACGUAGUAUUCUUCUCCUUUGUAGCGUAGAACCACUGCUUCGCUCUUCCUAACAGUGAGAAUGGGAAGAGGCGAAGUAGUAUAGCGUCUUUGGAAACUCCUGCUAUGGUGAAUGUGUUGCAAAUCUCCAGGAAGUGUUGUAAAUGAGCACUAGCAUCUUCGUGUGCCUUCCCACAGAACUGGUUGGAUUGCACCAUGUUGAUAAGUCCAGGCUUGAGCUCAAAGUUGCCAUCGAUCUCUGCAGCAGGUCCAGUGCGGAUGUUGUCCGUAGUGGGAGCUGAGAACUCGCGGAUUGAUUUGUUCGCCAUGGCUUCAAACUCUGAAGACAAGUUCCGGUGAUCUUCUUGAUUGGAUGAAGCUUCUUGCUGAAGUGUUGAUGAUUUCUUUAGCUUGGCUCUCGUCUUCUUGAAUAAUGCUUCGGGAUCGUCAACAAAAUUCCCUGGAAGAUGUCUUCUAUUCAUACAUUCCCCUGCAUAAGAUAAAAUAGAAAAAUAUCGGGGUAAAACUGUAUGAGAGAAUAGAUAAGCUCAAUCAUAUUAGUGAUGCGAAUGAUUACUCUAUAUCUUUUAUUCCAUUUCUGAUUGGUAAUCAACAUUCCCCGGCAACGGCGCCAAAAAUGCUUGUUGGGUAUUCUUAACAUCAUUACUAAAGGUAGACUAAGUUCUCUAAAUCUAGCAACGGUGCCAAAAAUGCCAAACCUAUCCCUCACACCACUUAAGCCAAGUUGUCAUCCCCAGCAUGAUAUAAGAGACGCGGUAUUGAAAUAUGCAAUUGCUCUUCUAAAUAAAUAAUGAAUGGGAUCUGCAAGCGCACAGAUUAAUACCGAUGUAGCAUUUUAACCGGGAAGUAUUCCAGGUAUCGUUAUUUAUAUUUUUACCACUGGGAAGGGAUUAGAAAUCAUCACUAAUGAUUACAGAAUAGAAUAUGAGAUUGAGAAUCUAUCAUUGCAUGUAUAAUUGAGAACAUUAUAUCUAACUCAUCAUACAGGGAUAAGUGUCACAUAAAAGAUAUAUGAAAUAAUAAUAGUGACAAGGAUAACUAAUCUGAUCUAGCCACAUAAUAAAUAUGAUAAGCACCUCAAUUAGAUACUCUAGAAAGUCAUUAGCAUGGUAUUAGAACGAACUACAAGAAUAUUCCCUAAGUUAUUCUUAACUAUAUAGUCUAGCAUAUCAUAGUUAGUGCAAGCAUACUUAGCAAUCAUUGUGAGACAAGACUACGCCCAUGCAUAGUGAUAUUAGCAAGGAAUAUGAGAAACAUAGCAAUCACUCCCCUGUAAUAAUGUUGCUCUGCCAGCCCAAUACACAAGAGGGGGACUAUAUAAGAAUCAAUGAAGCUGUCACUAUCACGAACCACCCCACGAUCUGGCAUAUUGGGUACAAUCGCAGAUAAAUACGGUAUAAGCACCACGCCUACACAAUAUCUAUCAUUUACCCAUGGAUCCGAUGGAUAAACGCUAUACGAUCCUAAGCAUGUAUAUAGAUCGUAUCUAACUAAGCCAAGUACAUAACUAUGAUAAACUAAGAACAAUAUAAUCUUGAAUAUAAGCAAGUAGAGCAAAGUCAUAAGCAAUAUAUUGAAGUAUAACAAAGUCAUAUUCAUAAUAUUGAAGAACAAAGAUAAUUAGAAAGCAAUUAGAAGCACAAUUAGAGAAUUACCAAGAAUCCUCUUGACAGAUCCGGAAACCAAUCGAAGAUUGACUCCUUCUAGUUCUAAUCCUAUGUAGCUAUGCUAAUCUAGAUAUCUAAUUGAUGUGGUGGCUCUAAUCUUGAUCAGAGGCUUCUUCUCCCUUGAUGGAACAAUGAAUUAGGGUUGAGAGGCUCUCUCCUCCAGGGGCCAGGGGGUCUGGUUUUAUAGUCCCUUCAAGUGAAUAUGGGCCCUUGGAUCAAACCGACAUAGAUUGUAUGGUUUAGAUUCAUCCUUUAGGUCGGUGGAGACUUCCCGCAAAGCAGAGUCCUGUUUGGACUCCAACAGGGGGCGGGCGCCCAGUAGGACAGGGCGGGCGCCCUGCCUCUGGCCCCGUUUCGCCUCCGCUUCGGUCUCGUGGCUUCUGGAGUCUUCUAGAUGUAAGAUAAUUGCACAGCACGUUAAUAUCUUUACGUAAUCCUGACAUGUGGGCCUUUCUUCCAUAUUUCCUGAUAACCCCCUGCAGAAAUAGACAAACACCAAAACUCGUGGAAUUCUGUCAGAUAAAACCCUAAGUCUAGAUCUUGAUUUCAUUUGGAUCAUUUUCUUUAUUUAUUUGAUAAUUAAAUUUGAUACUUAAGGACCGUCAACAGGCAUCAUCAAGAAAGAGGCUUGUCAACAAGGUAGCAAACAGGAAGCAAGAUAAGAAUAUGUCUUGCAAGAACAAACCCCGCACUUGCUACACUUGUCGAGGAAAGGGACAUCUAAGUAUGGAUUGUCCCAUGGGUAACACUCACAAGCCCAACUCAUCAAUUGAUUCAAAUAUGCUUAGGAGGCCCAAAAAUGACACUUGUGCUAGAAAGGUGAUUGGUUCACCAAGUGCUAGCACAAAGGCCAUUUGGGUGCCUAAGUCUCUUGUGACUAACCAUGAUGGACCCAACAUAGCUUGGGUACCAAAUUGUGCUUGAUGAGUGUUGUAGGUACUUAAAGGUGAUAUGAUGCUUCGGGGUGCUUGAGCAAGUUAACUGAAAAUAUUCACUCAAGCUAUCAACCAAUUCAUAUUGUUUCUUCUUAUAUGGUUGACCCAAAGAUAAAUUAAUGAAAUUAUUUCAAACUUCAUAUUCACCUUGGUAACUAGCACCUAAUCCUUGCUAGCUAGCCAUUUGACUUGUGUAGUCUCUGAUAGUUCACAAGUAUGUGUGUAUUUGUGAAUUAUCAAGAGUGGCUAGAGUACUUCAAGUUAAAUGAAUCAUUUGCCAUAUGAUGCUUUUAAUGGCUCUCUAGUAGAGCAAGAUCUUGUUAAUACUGUAGGUAAUGAGGAAUCAUCUUAUGAGGUAAUCAAGAAAAUUGCCACUGGUGAUAUCAGACUGAAGAAAUCCAAGUAACAGUGAUAAGGAUAUCCUCAAGCUGCUGCUGCACCUAAUUCCGCUGACACCUUAGAGCAGUAGUGCCGCCCCUAUAUAGAUAGCAGCAGGUGACAUCAGUCCAAGACAUGGAUGAAGCCCACAACAUGAUGAUAAACAAAGUCAAGAUGAAGAGACCAUCUCAUCCAUUAUAUCUCAAGAAGGGUGAAAAUUUAUGAGAAGAGGUUGUGCUUGGCUUAAUUGAAUAAUUCACAAGUUUGAAGGUUACUCUUCACCUAAAGUGAGAUGUUGCUGCUAGAGGUCAUAUUGAUCAAAAACCUGAAUUUGAAUAAAAUCAAGUUUGAGGUUGAAUUGGAUGAGUUAUAUUAGAAGAAUUCACAAGAUGACAAGUACUGAUAAGAGGACUGAAUGGAAAUUGCAUCUUGUGAGUAUUCUCAACCAAAUCCACCUCAAGAUUGGACAAGAAGCAAAGAAGAAUUGUGAAAUAUUAAAUCUGUCCAGAAAUUUGAAAAUUUGAAUUGGCUGCCUUCAAGCAUGGAUUUGGAAGUCCAAACACUGAUGAAUUGACCUGAAACAUUAUGAGAAUGACACACAUAUCUGAUACUUGUUGCUGUACAGUUUACAUGAAGAUUGGUUAAGAAGAAAAUCAGUUUUGAGUUGAAUUCUGUCAGCUUCAGCAUUGCAGAUUCAGACCAUAGCAGUUUUGGUAGAAAAUUAUUUUGACUAAUCCAAUGGAGUCCAAAUGAGAUGAAAUUUAUACAGAAGUUAGAGGACUCAUAGAUGAAGGUCUCUACCAAAUUUCAUGCAUAUUGGGCUAGUGGUCUGAGAGAUAUGAAUUCUUCUCUGAGGAUGACAGAAUCUGAAAACUGACUGUUUGGAAUUGGAUUGCAGUGUAACAAGAUUCAGUUGGCUCUCAAGUUGGUCAUGAAAGAUUUAUUAAAAAUGAGCAGCAUCAGUUUCGAAAAAGGAGUUUCAUUGGAAGAAGAGAACUCAUACAAGGAUCCAAACAAGUUGCAAUCAGAUUACAAGUAGUAGCAAAUAAUUGCAAUUAGUUGUUAGAAGAAUUCAAAUGCAGUCUGUCAGAAACAGCAGCUAAGAUCAGUUGAAACUUGAUGAAACUAGUUGGCUUCAGCAGUGACAAGUAGCAAAAAUGAGUUACAAUCAGAUGGUACUAGCUGAAAUCAAUUGGAAUCAACUGAAACUAGCUGAAACUAAUUAAAUUACAGCAGCCUGAAGGAGUUUGAAACCAGUUGGAAUGCAGUGUAAACUUCUCCCUUAACCUCAUGGUAUUGAUAUGCAUGAGUGUACUCUAUGUACUCUUGUAUGCACAUAUUAAGGGGGAGUUUAGACUAUAUCUUUUAAGACUAUUGGUUUCUUUCAAGUGUAUGUUGUGCAGUCCCACACAAUGGAAAAAGGAAGAUGGAUGAUUCCAAUGGAUUCUCUUAGUGUUUCACAACUAUUCUAGGAUCUUGGUUUUUAUAAACCAAGUGCUCCCAGUUUAAUGUUGAAUGCCCCAAUCCUUUAGUGGAACUGGAUUUGAAUGAGUUGGAGACAAUAAUUAAAAAAUGGGCUUUCUUUUCUAUUUCUUCUCUCUAGAGCUCAUCAAGUGUUCAUGAACCAUUCCAUUGAUCACCUAGGAUCUUGUCAACAAAGAGUGGUAACUCCUAGUUCACAAUUUGCAAAUUUCAUGAAUUUUACCUUUUGCUCUUUGUGGGUUGCCUUAGGUAAAGAAAGAACUAGGAACAUAAUUUCUAUCUUGGAUGAUCAUAAGAGCUCUAAGUCAUGACAUGUCAUCAAUUGAGAAAUAUAUGGCCAUCCAAAUCACUGGAUUCUCACUUAUGAUGGUCAUAUAAAUAAAAAUAUAUGUGGUGAUCUAUCUACCUUGGUGGUGGUAUGUUUCCUUGGCAAAAUUUCAAUUGUUGCAAAUUUAUGAUGCCUUGACCAAGAUAUAGGAUGAACUCCUCUUGACUCUUAAACCGAUUCAAAUGCACUUUACAAGUAAUUCAAGUACUUACUGCAUAUAUUAAGGGGGAGCCCAUUCUAUGUCCUGUGUCUUUGAGACUAACCUUUUCUUCUAGUGAAUUUGUGUAAUCUCUUGGUGAGAAUAAGUUUCUCAUGCGUAUGCUACAUUAACUCAAUCCAAUUGGGUAAAGAUAUCUCUCACAUUUACUUGGAUUGCAAUUUUAUCUCUUAAGUAGCUACUCUCCAUAAUAUAGCUUAAAUUCCCUUAUUUGGACUUAAUUGACCAAAAGUGCAUAUGUCUUGCCUUCCACAUAUAUAUGUAUGCACUAUCAAAAAGAGGGAAUUAGUAUAUGUUAUGAGGUUUUGCAAUUAGUGACUUACAUGCCUUCUACAUACAAAAGGUCACUAGUUGUGAAACUCCAGCUUGUGCAAUUUGAUGCUAUCUCUUGUCUUGUGAGCAUUACCUAGGUGACAAUAUGAGAUACAAGAAUCUAUUUCAAUUGGCAUCAACUUGUGAAGACUCUUUUAUUGGUGUCAAAAUUGUGAAGACCACAUUUCAUUUGGUAUUGGUGGAUAUUUUUUUAAAUUUGGUAUAUCAAGAAAUAUAUCUUCAAUUAGUAUCUCAUAAUGACAUCAAGAUCUAGCAAUGGACUUUCAAUCAAAAUCAAGCACAAGUUUUGGUUAUCUCCUUAAAGAUGAUGAUGAAAAGAGAUGGGCACAUGAAAUCUUUUUGCAUAAAGAAAUGCUAAGCCCAUCAAAGCUCCAAAUUCAACUCAUGAAAAUCAUUAUCAUGGUGGAGAUUCGAGGCUUAGAACAAAGGUAUAUUGCUCCAUGAACUCUUGUAUUACCUUUGUGCAUCUAGGCCCUUACAUGCUAGUGUGUGCAUGUGUAUGCAAUAUUUGAGCCACACCAUGAGUUUGUUCUUAUGGUCACGAUUAGAGAAUGAUUUAGAUAUUUGGUUGAUACCUCUGUGGUGAUAAAGUGAGUUUGUCUCAUGUUAGAACUAUCAUCUAAGUGAGGUAUGAGCUAAAUAUACUAACUUCUCAAGAAUCUUGACUUAAAGUGUUGCAUACUUUGUUUGGUAGAAAACUCAGGAGAGAAAUCCUAUAUGCUGAAUUUUUACCUACCUCUUGCCCUCACUUGUCUGCCAUUAUUUCUUCCUCUGGGUGGAUAGAUCCUUUUUGGAGAUUAAUGCCAAAGGGGGAGAAAUAUUGGGGGAGAGUGUAAGGGAGGAGAGAUUGAUAUGCGGAUUUAAAGGGGGUAAAAGAGAGGCAUAUAAGAUUUUUUCAAUUUUUGUGUGGAGUGUGCAAAGAUAGUUUAAAUUGAUGCUCUUGAUAAGGAAAAAUUUAUGCUAGUGUGUGAUAUUCAUGCCUUGAAUGAUGUAUUGUUUUUGUUUUCUCUGAAGUGCAUGAACUGUCAUGAGCAUCACGUUUAUCUUGAUGACACCUUGCACCCCACGAAUGCUAAGAUAUAGAAGAGUUUCCACACCUUUUCUUAAAUAAGUGCAUUUGGCAUGUGAGGCCAAAAUUUGAAUUCCAUUCAAUGCACACAUUUAGGGGGGAGUUCACUAUAUCAGAGGAUUCAAAAUCUUAUUAUUUAUCAAUCUCUUGUAAGCUUUACUUGUGUUGUCAUCAAUCACCAAAAAGGGCGAGAUUGUAAGUGCAUCUAGCCUUUUAGUGGGUUUUGGUGAAUUGAAUGACAACACAAUUAAAGGUCUAACAUCUAGCCCUUUAGUGGGUUUUGGUGAAUUGAAUGACAACACAAUUAAAGGUCUAACAAGUUUGAUAAGUGUAUCAAAGGGUCAACAAGAAAGCAAACUUGAUGGUAUUUCACACAAUGUUCAAAUGAAGACCAAAGUUGUGUGUUGGUGUAAACUGAAGCUUGAUUGGUAUCAACACUCAUACCAAGAAGAUAUUCAAGCAAGAAUCACAAUAUUGAAGAAACAGUUUUUCAAUGGAUGCUUAACAUGAUGUGACUUGAGUAUGGCUUGAUAGAGUGAAGAUAGCAAGGAAAAGGCUUCGAGGGACUAAGCGAAGUUUAAGGUCAAGCAAUGGCUUGUAGACCGAGGUACCAUGGCUAAGGUGAAGAAGAGAGUACUUGCAUUGAGUCGAGGUACUAAUUAAGCUAUGAGGAGUCAUAUUGUGUUGAGGAUCAAAUCUUUUAUCAAAGUGACUUGAAGUCAUGGAUUGAACUCAUAUAUGUUGAAAUGAUUCAAGUCACAUGCUCAAGCUAUAUUUACUCAAAGAAGAGGAGACAAAGUUAAUUGCAUCCUUGAUGAAGUGAUAUUGAGAAGAAGUGGCAUAUGAAGACAUUGAAGACUCAAGUGGUUAAAAUGGUUAUAUACUUUUGACCUUGAGUUUAGGAUUUGCCGCACUAUAAACAGGGAUGCAAAUUUAGUUGGUUUGAGGAAGAUAGAGUGCUCAAGUAUUAAAACUAAAUCAAAAGAGAGACAAUCUAACACUUGCACGCACGAACAUCUAGGAAAUUUCUUCUCUGCCAGGGUGACCCGGUAGUACCACCCCUCAGGGCCGGUGGUACCGGCAGUGCCAGCCCUUUCUCCUGAAUUUUGUGAGAAAAUGAACUACCGGUAGUACCGGGCUCGGGCCGGUGGUACCGGCCAGCACCAGUAGUACCGGUGUGAAACCCGGCAGGCCAAAUCUGCACUGACUUUGGUUGCGGAGACUUGAACUGCCGGUGGUACCGGCCUUCUACCGGUGGUACCGGCAAUGGUCGGUAGUACCGACAAAAGCCCGGUGGUACCGGUAGGCUUAUUUCUCGCAAAUCAUAGAGACUUCUUACCGUUAGAUCUGAGGUAGCCGGUGGUACCGGUGGUUGCGCCGGUAGUACCGGCAGUUGUUCUGAACACAUGUAUAUAUAGCUUUCCCCUCAUUCUAACCGUUGGCUUACUCUUCCGCUCGACCAAACCUUCAGCCAAGGCACCUCUCUAGCUCCCAAAAGCCCCUUUCUUGUAUCCCCUUUGCUCCUAACUUCAAAUCUUGCAAGGGAUUGAGGGAGAGAAGGAUUCUUGGUGAGAGAAACAUCAAAGCAAAGCUUGAGCACUUGAUUUCUUCGUCAAGCCGGUUGGAUUUGUGUUUGUUACUCUUGGAGCAAGGCUCCUAGCCGGCUAGGCGUUGCCCAUAGAGCUUCCUACUCAUGUGGUAGCCUCGGGAGGUUUGUAAUCACUCAAAUCAUCUAGUGAAAUCACCCCUCAUCUCAAGGGAUUGCUCUCUUGACUUGAGAACGAGGAUAGGGUUGAAAGAGACCCGAAAAGCCUGUGUGGCUUCCUCAACAACGUGGACAUAGGCAAGCCUUGGUGGCGAGCAGAACCACAGGAUAAAUAUCUUGUCUUUCUGUGGAGGUAGCUUCGACUACCCUUUUUCUUGUGUUCUUUAUGUUCUUCCUAUCUACCCUGUUCAUAGGUGAACAAGGGCCGAUCUAUGUUUUGGAGAAGAACCAAGGCAAGGGAACUUCAACAUCAUCCUCUACUACAUCUAGGAGAGUGGGGUAACUCUCAGAUCUGGAAUCAAAACUCAAAAUACUCUGAUUUCGUAGCUCUCUUAGGGUGUCGGUAGUACCAACAGUUGCGUCGGUAGUAUUGGCUGUCUUACACCAGUAGUACUGGCCCAAACUGUUGGUGGUACCGACAGGCAUUUAAUUUCCGCAACUUGAGUUUUGAGUUUCAGGUUUUUUCAGAUACGCCUAUUCACCCCCCUCUAGGCGACAUCAGGGUCCUUACACGUUCGGAUCUGUCAUACCGAUCAUAACCAUUGCAUUCAGAGCAAUCCCUAACAGUAGGCAACUUGAUGCUCUGUUCCCAGCAAUGGAUAAAGAACGGGCAGUUCCAGUGAUCUUUGUGCCGAUUCCACUCCUGUCGGCGUCAUUCUUCUUCCCGACGAUAAUCCUCCUGCUGGCGCCGAUACCGAUCUUCACGUUGCUGCCAAGUCUCCCGAUGCCUUCUAUGAGUUAUCACAAUGCCAGAUCGAGGAGGCCUUCCUGAGCUAUUUCCUUCCUAGAUAAAACCCUUUCCUUUAGCAUCGGCAGCAGUAACUUGAUGUUGGGGAUCCACCGAUGCACUUCUUUUAGCUGCUUCUGACAUCAAGACCUUAGUCUUUCCCUUAGCAUCCAACAUAUUCGGUGGGAAAGGAUGUUGAUCGAUCUUCAUCGGCUUCUGAGCUUUGGAAUUGUCAAACUUGAUUCUCCCAGAUUCUAUAGCCGAUUGCAGUUGUUGCCUGAAAACCUUGCACUCAUUGGUGCUGUGAGAGGUUGCAUUGUGCCACUUGCAAUAUUUCAUCUUCUUUAAUUCUUCAGCCGAUGGAAUCACAUGAUUAGGCGACAAUUUGAUUUGCCCUUCCUGAAGUAGAAAGUCAAAUAUCCUAUCGGCCUUAGUAAUGUCAAAUGCAAACUUUUCUAGCUCCUUAUGCCCAAAAGGGCAAGACAUCGACUUUUUGUUCUUCACCCAUUCUGCUAAGCUGAUGACUGGCUCCUCAUCAGAAUCCGAGCUUGCUGCUUCAUCUACAAAUGAUACCUUUUUGUUCCAUGCUCUCUUGGGUUCAAAAGGCUUAAUAUCUUGGUCAGAAAUCCUUUGCACCAAGUGACUCAGACUUUCGAACUCUUGAGAAGCGUACUUGUCUCUGAUAUGUGGCAAUAGCCCCUGAAAAGCCAAAUGGGCAAGCUGCCGAUCAUCUAGAACCAGGCUAUAACAUUUAUUCUUGACUUCCCGCAACCUCUGCACAAAGCUUUCAACCGAUUCAUCAUUGCGUUGUUUCAAUCUGACCAAAUCGGUAAUCUUCUUCUCAUGGACUCCAGAAAAGAAGUAUUUGUGGAAUUGCUUCUCUAGAUCGGCCCAAGUGAUCACUGAGUUGGGAGGUAAUGAAAUAAACCAUGUAAAAGCCGAUGCAGACAAGGAUGAUGAAAAUAGACGAACCCUCGAUUCAUCUCUGUUAGCAGCUUCCCCACAUUGAAUGAUGAACCUAUUGACAUGCUCCAUAGUUGAUGUAUCAAUCUGCCCAGAAAAUUUAGUGAAAUCUGGUACAUUGUACCGUGUGGAAUUAAAUCAUAUGCAGGAGGAUACGGUGUCCGAUAAGAGUAAGUGUUGACUUUGGGUUUUAUCCCAAAUUGGUCUCUCAUCACUUCAGCUAUCUUAUCGGCCCAAUAAGCAUCGGCAUCUUGCCGAUGAGGCGGUUGUGGAUCUGGCGCCUGCUGAUAUGUUUCCACAUGUCGUUGAGGUGCACGAUCUGCAUGGAACAUUGGGUUAACCAUCUGACCACCAGUCUGUUGACCCAGAUUCAUCGGCUGGUUGGCCAACCCUUGAUUCUGAAACCCAGGUUGAAUUUGACCUUGUUGAAACCCUAGAGCCUGAUAAUUCUGCUGAGGCAUCUGUGGAAAGACUAGCUACCCCAUCCAUCCACUGUUAGCAUUCAUCAGCACAAACCCUGCCGAUGGCUGGAAAUUGGGCAUCAUCAUGGAAUUGACAUACCCUGGUUGUGUCAUAAACCUCUGCUGCGUCGGCAUUGAGUCUGCCGAUGCGUUAGGCAUUUGGAACAUUGGAGAUUGAGAAUUCCUAGUGUACGGUCUGGCAGUAGUAGUCGUGGUAUACUGGGGACUCUGAUUCAUCGGCAGAUUUGGAGGUGCCGAUGCCAUAGGAGCCUUGUCUUUCAAGUCAGCCACUUGAGAUGUUCCAGGAGUUUUCAACAUCAUCUCAGGGGGCAUACCGUAACCCCACCAAUUAGGAGGAAUAGAUCCCGACAUUGCUGAUGCCAAUAGAUCUGAGGCAAGCUUGAUUUGCUCAUCUGAUGUUGAUGGAUUGGUUGUCAUCGGCGUAGAUUGCACAUUAGUAAGUCCUAAUGUGCUUGGAGGAACAGUAGUUUUUGUACCUGCAGCGGCUGUAGUAGCCGAUGGAGCGGUGACCAGUGGUGAUCCUAGCUGAUGAUAGGCAAGACCCACAUAAUUUGGUGGCAAUUGUCCUUCCUUGAAAGUUCUGGCAACAGCAUUGAAAAUCAUGUUGGACAGCACACCAGCUUGAUUGAUCAAGGCACGGUUAAUAGCAUUGUCAACCAUGUCUUGAAGUUUACCAGGAUUGGCUUCAAAAGUAAUCUGCCGAGGUGCCGGCAAUGCUUCCUUCUGGAUCACCUCGCCACUCCUGUUGAUGCUGAAGGAUUUCAAACAUUGAUGCUUGUAGUCCUCCAUGGCUUUUGCAAUAGCUUGCUUUUGCUCAUCUCUGAGAUUGGCUUCCGUCACAGGGAUGACGUUCUCCAGAUCGAACUCGGUAUUGGCCAUGUCGAUCUUGAUCUUGAAUCUUGUCCCACCAGGUGUGCCAAAAGAUGUGUUGAUGCAAAACUGAUCUGCAAACACAAAGGGCUAAUACCCGAUUUAAACGUUAAGGCGUGCCAGCCGAUUUGACCUUUCAAUCGACAAAGGUGGUAACUCGACCACUUUGGUCCCCACAACAGCGAUGCGCCCGGAUGUCACGGCCAAGAGGUGAUCACGCGGAACUUGAGAACGCGCCGAGCUUAAGUCGACGAAUUCCUAAGAACUCGUAAUAAAAAGAAAAUAUGGCGAAGUCGUUGAAAAAGUAGAUGCUAGAAUAUGAGUAAAAACUUGUGUUUGAUUGAUUGAUAGAUUGUUCAUUACAAGGCCCUAGGGUCCACAUUUAUACCCUGCUCAAAGAGCUACAAUCAGACACGACCAGGACUCAAAUUCCAAAUUAAAUGGAAUCCGUAUAGAAAACAAAUCUAAAUAACUAAGGAAAACAUAAAACUAUCCCCUUGUAACCGACCGGGACACCGCCACAAAUCAAUCGGCAAUCUCCACGCUUUCCUUCAGAGUCAUCGGCAGACCUACUGUUAUGGCCAUCGGCAAACACUAAUACUGAUCAUCGGCACGAACACGUCACCACCUCUAGACUUAGUCACAUUCAAUUGUCUCAUCAUCGGCAACCAUCCUCAUCGGCAACUUCUCUGCAGACUAGUUACCAUUGCUUCAUCUGCCGAUCUAUACUUUACUGAUCCCCAGGUACAUGUCCAAAAACAGUGUCAACACCUAUAAGCUCUAAUUCUGUAAUAGAACCGCCCAAAUUAUAAGAGAUUAAGCCUAAUAGUGACCAUUUGCAUAGUCGAACCAUCGAGCUUAAACCCAUAUAAUCCUGGUAGUCCGUGAAAUCUCGAAGGAUUUCAUACCACAAAUCGUACAUACAGCCAAGAUCGUAAUAAGUUUAGCAGUCACUAUUCACAGUUACAUCCAGUUUACAACAUUCAUAAAAUACAUCGGAGUUCUUCAAAUUAUUACAAACCAAGUUCUCAAGUAGCGGAAGCUUCAUAGUUUGAAAAUAACACACACAUACUUAGUCUGAUACAGUGCCAUAGUUCAGUCAUUCCCACAAAAGCAAAAGAAGAGGUAGAGUGACCAUCGGUCCAUCGCCCUUGACCUAGUCAUCGCCCAUUGCUGGGUACAAGCAGAGGAUGCAAUAACCAUAGUACAUUUGACCAUCUGCAAAACAACAUGGGAGUAGAACCCUGAGUAUGAGAAUGUACUCAGCUAGACUUACCCAUCAUAAACCAAAAAUAAAGACUUAUUCAAGGAUCAUGAAGGCUAUAUGGUGGGGGUAGCUGAUGACUUUUUGCAUAAAAGCACUAUUCUAUUAAACAUAUCCUAAAGGAAUUCUUCUUCUUUUAAUUAGCUCAAGUUGAAAGUAUCAUUACCUAUUAUCUAGGUUUGCUCCUGCACUAUGGCAAACAAAUAUAAUAAUAUGAUGGUUGUUGACACUUGCUAACACCACUUGAAUACUAGGUUGUCAUCUCCAGCAUGGCACUAGAGUGUACUAUGGUAUUUAUACGCACACAGAUAAUCCGCAAGCGCACGGAUACCGUUGAAGCUUUUACCUGGUUAAAGGUUUUAUCGUAUCCACAGGGAAACGGGAGAACCAACUACGCUCUAACUUAACCAAGAUAAGUAAAUAGGAAAGAUGGUAGAUGGUAGCACAAUAUUAAAGGUAAGAUAACAGUGAGUGAUAAUAUGGGAAUAGAGAGUAGAGCAAUCUAGUAUAUGGGCGAUGGUAGCAGAAUAGAGAGGAUAACUAUGGUUUGUCUACUUCAAAGGGAUAUUUCUAUGUCUGGGACGAACCACGUGAUAAGAUUACACCACAAAGGAUGCUUAUCCAUAGGCCGAUAAACCCUACCCGUCCUGCUAACGAGAGGUGGACUACAGAGAACCAACGUAACUGUCACCUACGCGGCCUACCACACGAUCCAGCUAGACAGGGGAUAUCCACAAGUAAUCUAGGUCUAAGCACCACGCUUACACCUAUACUACAACUCUAACCUAUAGCGUCCUAUAGAUUAGAAGUACUCAAAAGAGUUGUGAACCAGAACAUACAUGAUUAGUAAUUGCAUAAUGAAUUAGAAGUAGAUUACCAGAGUCAUCCCAUGAGCAAGCUUGAUUAGAGCUUGAUCAUGACGAAGUACAACCGGAGGAAGAACCGACAGGCCGGCCUCUCCUCUAAUCCUCCCACGCUCUCCAUCUUGCUACAAGCUAGAUCUACUCUAGUUUAGAGAAGAGAGGAGAGCUCUCAUCUCUAAACCCUAGCUUUUGCUCUGUCUAUGAAUAAUGAAUAAUGAUCAAGGGGUGCCUCCUCCAGGGGCCAGGCGGUCUGGUUAUAUAGUCCUCUCAAGGGAAUAUGGGACGUUGGAUCAAAGCGACAUAGAUUGAACGGUUAUUCUUGAUCCUUUAGGUCGGUGGAGAUCUCCCGAGAAACAAAGUCCUGUUUGGACUCCAACAGAUGGCGGGCGCCCAGGGAAACAGGGCGGGCGCCCUGCCUCUGGCCCCUCUCGGCCUCCGCUUCCUUGCCAUGGCUUCUGGAGUCUUCUAGAUGUAAGAUAAUUGCGCGGCACGUUAAUAUCUCUAUGUAAUCCCGACGUGUGGGCCUUUCUUCCUUAUUUCCUGAUAACCCCCUGCAGAAAUAGACAAACACCAAAACUCGUGGAAUUCUGUCAAAUAAAACCCUAAGUCUAGAUGUUGAUUUCAUUUGGAUCCUUUUCUUUGUUUAUUUUAUAAUUAAAUUUGAUACUUAAGGACCGUCAACAAACUCCCCCAAGCUUACCUCUUGCUCGUCCCUGAGCAAGGAUAGACUCAGCAAUGGAUCAGAAGUUGUUGCAAUAUCUUUAAAAUUUGACGGUACACAUGCUUUUAAAUAAGAUCUCAUCUCUGAGUUAGAGUAAACUGUCAAGAACUAAAACUUACUUUACCUUUCACCAUGGGACUUGUAACCGCCACUUCAGUCUUGAGUAGUUAAAAGAUAGAACAGUCUAGCCAAGUGCCAUGUCUCUUAUUGUUGAUCAGCUAUAGCUCUAGAGUUUUUGUAGAUUUUCAAAUAAAACUCAGAGAUUCCUUGUAUGACUCUCUAAAUCUCUCUUUUGUGGUAUUUCUGGAUCCUUACCAAGGCAGUGAUGGUAUAUGCCUUCUCUCAAGAUAUGUGGUAUUUGUGGUAUAAGGCAUAGUGACAUUGCCUUCUCUCUCACCCUACUCUAAUAAGGCUUUAAUAUCUGGAGCUCAUAGGUGGGAGAUAAAGUAUACAUACUUACAAGACAUUUAUUGUAUAGUCAAACCAUGGAUCGAAAGAAACAAAUCAAUAAGCCAAAUCAAGAUGUGCAUAUGUGGCGAAUGAAUGGUGUAUGGUGAUGAUGGUGAUAACAAUGGUGAAAGUCUAAUUCUACUUUUGCUCUUUUGAGGGGGUACAUACCUGUUGAUAUUUGGUAACGCAAUAAGGAAACGAUCCGCAAGCACACGGAUAUCGGAGAGCAUUUCACCCAGGAGGUUAUCCAGAGUUAUCGUAUUUAUAUUUUUACCACUGGGAGAAAGGGUGCAUCUGACUAACCAAAUCUAUUGCUACUAUCCCUUUAGGCACAAAGAAUGUCUUUCGAUGUGAGUGAUAAAUAGAGAAGACUGCAACCGUAGUCUCCUUCUAACCUUGGUAAGGAUGAUCUACUGCUCUAAUGGGGAGGCUAACAGAAUCUAGACACCACAAAGGAUGUUCAACCCGCACCUAUAAACCCUAUCCUUCCUGCUAACGAGAUGUGAUCUGCAAAGGUAAUUCGGAAUUGUCACGUUCCUCACUACUACCACGGUCCAGCUAGUCAGGGAAUAUCUAUGAGUACCCCAGCCUAAACACCACGUUUACGCCAGCAAUGAUUACUCUAAACUCUACGCGAAGAGAUUAAAGUAAACUCAUAAACCAUAAGAACAAUAAAACAAGAACUUACUAGAAUUUAGAAGUCGAAUUACUGAAGAAUCCUAGGAGCAAGCUUUGGGUAAGGAGAACUUGAUCCCGCAGGUACAAGCUUGGAGUAGACACCGACAGGCCGGGCUUCCUCCAAUCUACACCUCAGAAACUAGAAGAUCUAUUUCUACCUUACAUUGGUUGCUAAGCCUAAAAAGAAAUAUUAAUUAGAGAAGAGGUUUUCCUUCAAGGGCACCCCUCAGUCUCUAUGAUAAUUUCUUCAUGUCUUCUCCAGAGGCCAGGGGGGUCUCCUUAUAUAGUCCUCCCCUUCUAGGCAUUUUUGGGUCGAUAGGCGAGGUGGUACUAUGUUUUUCUUGAUCCAAUAGGUCGGUGGAACAUCCCGAGCGAAGAGAGUCCUAUUUGGCAUCCAACAGGGGGCGGGCGCCCAGGUCCUCAGGGCGGGCGCCCUGGGCCUGGCCCCGUUUCGCCUCCGCUUCGGUCUCGUGGCUUCUGGAGUCUUCUAGAUGGUAGAAAAUUGUGCGGUGCGUUGAUAUCUCUAUGUAAUCCUGACAUGUGGGCCUUUCUUCCUUAUUUCCUGAUAACCCCCUGCAGAAAUAGACAAGCACCAAAACUCGUGGAAUUCUGUCAGAUAAAACCCUAAGUCUAGAUGUUGAUUUCAUUUAGAUCCUUUUCUUUGUUUAUUGGAUAAUUAAAUUUGAUACUUAAGGACCGUCAACAAUACCUUCCUUGCUUUUUGAAACUUUAUGAGGAGAAUGAGAUGCUUUUCUUUUUCUUUCCUCUCAGGUGGGUAUCUUGUAACCCUAAUUCUACUGUCGAACACUUGUCCAUUUUUACCUCUCGUCUCACUUUUUCUUUCUUUCGAGGUUCCGGGCACUUGCCCCUUUUUAUUUCCUCGUUUAUUUUUUUCUUUUCUCCUCUUUUCUCUUUUUUUUCAGAGCACUCAUCUCUUGAGAUAAUAUAGCAAGUGGUAGUAGUAAGAUAACUUGAGCAUUUAUUUCACAAGGGAAAACAGAAAUAUUUUUGGCUAUUCUCUCCCGGAUUAGGAGUAGAAUAUUUUUGGGUGGUUCUGGAGAUGGACAUGGAUGGAUAUAUGUGGAUGGUACUUCCGGAGUAGAAGUAGCAUAUAUGAGUGAACAUGCAAGUGAAUCUUGAUUUAACCACAUGACAAGCUUCUAAGGGUCUACACAGCUUGACCACACUCAAUGCUCAUAAGCAGUAAAUAGUAAAUGUGUGGCUCAAAGUCUAGCAAGCAUGUAUAUAUGGCUGUGGUAGGAAUUUAAACUCUCAACAUACACGAACUCAUCAUGCAAUAUUUUAAAGAUUUUUCAAAUAUAAAAUUCUCUAGAACUCUAGCAUCUCUAGGAACAGAUAAACAGCAGCUCAACCUUCCCAUAUCAUAUCCGUUAACAACUUAGAUUUCAGAUCAAGUUUUCAUCCCACAAGUUUAGAUCUAGAGCAAGCUUUAAAUUAUAACAGUUAUGUCUAAACUUGAGAGAGAACUUCAAAUUUGCAAAUUAGGCAGAGCAACUAUUCAUCAUAUCCAUGCUAGAGUUUUAUUAUUAUGAUUCAGAUUAGCAUAGCCACUUUAUUUAUUUAUUAAACACGCUAAGCAAAAGAGAUAUAUAUAUAUAUAAGCACAAAAUUUUUAUUUGGUUUUUCAUAGUUCAUGUAUUUUAAUAUUCUAACAUAAUAUAAGUAUAAAGAUAGGUAGAAAUACUUAGCGAGAUAAAUAGGGGUGCUCUUCCCCCAAGCUGAAUUUUGACGUAAUUUCUCUUGAUGUAGCUAGCAGAUGGCAGAGGUGUAUUUGAAAGUCAGCAGUAUUCUGACAGCGAUUAGAAUGUCAUCCGUCUGCUAGUCUUCUUGAUUCUUAAAUUCUGUGGAGCUCAAAUAGACAACAAAGCUUGUGGAACUAAUUAAGUGUUAGCAUAAAUAUCUAGCCUUCAUCAUGUUGAGCUUCCUCAAUAAAUAUUACUCCCUGUUUUUAUAUUUUUAUUUUAUAAAGCAGAAAAGAAAUAUUUAUUUUAUUUUUAUGCCACCACAGUGAAGGUACUUAUUGGUUUUAUAUGCCACUCGUAUACUCACAUGGGGCUUAGUAUUUUUUAACAUUUUUAUUUUGUUUUCAAGAUAGCAUGAUUAACUAAUAAUCUAUUCAAGGAAAGUAAAUAUUUAAAGGGAAAAGGGAAUGCAGAAAGGAUAAAUAUGGAUAACUACCGAUCUUACCUUUCGGCGAGGGUUCAAUGUUUUAAGUCUUCUUAAAAAGACUUCUCACCGUGUUCAUUCUUCAUUCAAUGUUUUAAGUCUUCUUAACAAGACUUCUCACCGUGUUCAUUCUUCAGGUGCGUCAUUUGAUUCAGGUGCGGACCUUGAUGUCUGCACCUCUUCGUUUGCCUAGCAGUUCGAAGUGCGGCGUUGGCAGUAUCCUGCUCAGUGUGUUUGUGCUCGUAGAUCCAGGUCCUUCACUUGGUAGAGUCUAUGAAUUAUAAAACUCCUCCAUGUUUUGCUCGAAGUGUACCUGCUCAUAGAGACAAGGCAGAGAUCAAGUGCAUGGGUCCUAUUGGUCGAAAACACCAACAGAACCUAAAGUGUAUUUGUUCUUCUCUAACCCUAAGCAUAGUGAGCAAGACAAAGUUGAUGGAUGAAAAGUUCAUGAGUGUAGCACUUAUAACAUUUGUCAGAUCAGAUCACUCAACCUUAUGGAAAGAUAAUCUAUCUAUAUAUAUGUCUUUUUCUUUAUAUCUCUCAAUGAUUGAAUGUGUAACAUUUUAGCUCAUAUGAUUAGGAGUGUGGGAUCAUGGAGGUAGUACUAAGAACAAGGAUUAAAGGACUAAACAUGUUGACUCAGUUGGGUUGGUUAAUCUAGAGUUGUAAAUCAUACAUGUUUGUCUCUUUUAUUUAUAUGAAUGCCAGAACCAAGGAGAAG
rnacentral:lncRNA from 1 species